rnacentral:rRNA from 1 species
CAGCCGCCACGGUAAUACGGAGGGAGCUAGCGUUGUUCGGAAUUACUGGGCGUAAAGCGCGCGUAGGCGGUUACUCAAGUCAGAGGUGAAAGCCCGGGGCUCAACCCCGGAACUGCCUUUGAAACUAGGUGACUAGAAUCUUGGAGAGGUCAGUGGAAUUCCGAGUGUAGAGGUGAAAUUCGUAGAUAUUCGGAAGAACACCAGUGGCGAAGGCGACUGACUGGACAAGUAUUGACGCUGAGGUGCGAAAGCGUGGGGAGCAAACAGGAUUAGAGACCCCGGUAGUCCCUGUCUCUUAUAC